GACGAAGGGGGCUAGCGUUGUUCGGAAUUACUGGGCGUAAAGCGAGUGUAGGUGGUUGUCGUAGUCAGGCGUGAAAGCCUUGAGCUCAACUCAAGAAAUGCGCUUGAUACUGGGCAGCUAGAGGACCGGAGAGGAUAGUGGAAUUCCCAGUGUAGUGGUGAAAUGCGUAGAUAUCGGGAGGAACACCAGUGGCGAAGGCGGUUGCCUGGAGCUUUGCUGACGCUGAUGCGCGAAAGCGUGGGGAGCGAUCCGG
rnacentral:rRNA from 1 species